rnacentral:rRNA from 1 species
AACGAACGCUGGCGGCAGGCUUAACACAUGCAAGUCGAGCGCCCCGCAAGGGGAGCGGCAGACGGGUGAGUAACGCGUGGGAAUCUACCCAUCCCUACGGAAUAGCUCCGGGAAACUGGAAUUAAUACCGUAUACGCCCUACGGGGGAAAGAUUUAUCGGGGAUGGAUGAGCCCGCGUUGGAUUAGCUAGUUGGUGGGGUAAAAGCCUACCAAGGCGACGAUCCAUAGCUGGUCUGAGAGGAUGAUCAGCCACAUUGGGACUGAGACACGGCCCAAACUCCUACGGGAGGCAGCGGUGGGGAAUAUUGGACAAUGGGGGCAACCCUGAUCCAGCCAUGCCGCGUGAGUGAUGAAGGCCUUAGGGUUGUAAAGCUCUUUCACCGGGGAAGAUAAUGACGGUACCCGGAGAAGAAGCCCCGGCUAACUUCGUGCCAGCCGCCGCGGUAA